CCUACGGGUGGCAGCAGUAGGGAAUAUUGCUCAAUGGGGGAAACCCUGAAGCAGCAACGCCGCGUGGAGGAUGAAGGUUUUCGGGUUGUAAACUCCUUUUGUUAGAGAAGAUAAUGACGGUAUCUAACGAAUAAGCACCGGCUAACUCCGUGCAAGCAGCCGCGGUAAUACGGAGGGUGCAAGCGUUAUUCGGAAUCACUGGGCGUAAAGAGCGAGUAGGCGGGAUAGCAAGUCAGAUGUGAAAUGCUAUGGCUUAACCAUAGAACUGCAUUUGAAACUGUUAUUCUAGAGUAUGGGAGAGGUAGGUGGAAUUCUUGGUGUAGGGGUAAAAUCCGUAGAGAUCAAGAGGAAUACUCAUUGCGAAGGCGAGCUGCUAGAACAUAACUGACGCUGAUGCGCGAAAGCGUGGGGAGCAAACAGGAUUAGAUACCCGGGUAGUC
rnacentral:rRNA from 1 species